GAUGAACGCUGGCGGCGUGCCUAAUACAUGCAAGUCGAGCGAACAGACGAGGAGCUUGCUCCUCUGACGUUAGCGGCGGACGGGUGAGUAACACGUGGAUAACCUACCUAUAAGACUGGGAUAACUUCGGGAAACCGGAGCUAAUACCGGAUAAUAUAUUGAACCGCAUGGUUCAAUAGUGAAAGACGGUUUUGCUGGCACUUAUAGAUGGAUCCGCGCCGCAUUAGCUAGUUGGUAAGGUAACGGCCUACCAAGGCAACGAUGCGUAGCCGACCUGAUGGCGUGACCGGCCACACUGCAACUGCGUCACGGUCCAGACUCCUCCGGGAGGCAGCAGUCGGGACUCUUCCGCAAUGGGCGGACUCCUGACCGAGCAACGCCGCGUGAGUGAUGAAGGUCUUCGGAUCGUAAAACUCUGUUAUUAGGGCAGAACGAAUGUGUAAGUGACUGUGCACGUCUUGACGGUCCCUGCUCAGAAAGCCACGGCUAACUACGUG
rnacentral:rRNA from 1 species